CGUCCUACGGGAGGCUGCAGUGGGGAAUAUUGCACAAUGGGCGCAAGCCUGAUGCAGCAACGCCGCGUGAGUGAGAAGGUCUUCGGAUCGUAAAACUCUGUCCUUAGGGAAGAAACAAAUGACGGUACCUAAGGAGGAAGCCCCGGCUAACUACGUGCCAGCAGCCGCGGUAAUACGUAGGGGGCGAGCGUUAUCCGGAAUUAUUGGGCGUAAAGAGUACGUAGGUGGUUGUGUAAGCGUGGGGUGAAAGACCGAGGCUUAACUUCGGUUAGCCUUGCGAACUGCAAGACUUGAGUGCAGGAGAGGAAAGUGGAAUUCCUAGUGUAGCGGUGAAAUGCGUAGAUAUUAGGAGGAACAUCAGUGGCGAAGGCGACUUUCUGGACUGUAACUGACACUGAGGUACGAAAGCGUGGGUAGCAAACAGGAUUAGAUACCCGAGUAGUCUC
rnacentral:rRNA from 1 species